UGAGCCCUAGCUCCUUUCCCAUGCCCACCUCGCACUGCUUUGCUCUCUGCCCGCGCACGCCACCGUCGAUCCCGUGGCCAACGGUCGUCCCUCGUCGCACCAACACGUCGAGGAGGAUCGCCACCAUCUACUUCGUCCAUCCUGGGCAUCAAGUCAAGCGGGGCUACCUCGUACGCACGCCAUCGAGGACGUUUCAAUCGCGUACACCGCCUGCGUUUGUCGCUGUUCCCCGCUGCUAAGAUACAUCCCCGGCCUCCCCGACCUUGCCUUAGGGCUCGUGAUGCUGCCACCGUUGCUUGUUGCUCCGCCCGCGCCGCCUGUGGUGCACGCCCGCGCUCGCCCCCACCAGUGUGUGAGCGGCCGCCACCGUGACCGCGCCUCGCCCUGGGCGUGGCCGCACCCUGGCCAGCCGUCGCUGUCGACCCCCGAGACCAAUGAUGAUCCAAUGUUCGACUAUUUUCCGGUCGCAGAUCAGUAUAUGUCUGCAGAGCAACAAG